rnacentral:tRNA from 1 species
AACCCUGUGACCGAGAGGAUAGGUGGAGGGCUGCAAAUCCUUAUACGCCGGUUCGAAUCCGACCGGGCUGU